UACGUAGGGUGCGAGCGUUGUCCGGAUUUAUUGGGCGUAAAGAGCUCGUAGGCGGUUUGUCGCGUCGGCCGUGAAAUCUCCACGCUUAACGUGGAGCGUGCGGUCGAUACGGGCAGACUUGAGUUCGGUAGGGGAGACUGGAAUUCCUGGUGUAGCGGUGAAAUGCGCAGAUAUCAGGAGGAGCACCGGUGGCGAAGGCGGGUCUCUGGGCCGAUACUGACACUGAGGCACGAAAGCGUGGGGAUCAAACAGG
rnacentral:rRNA from 1 species